rnacentral:rRNA from 1 species
CAUAUUACCGAAACUGUGGAUGAACCUCUUUAGAGGUUCGUGGUAGGAGAGCGUUCUAAGGGCGGUGAAGUCAGACCGGAAGGACUGGUGGAGCGCUUAGAAGUGAGAAUGCCGGUAUGAGUAGCGAAAGAAGGGUGAGAAUCCCUUCCACCGAAUAUCUAAGGUUUCCUGAGGAAGGCUCGUCCGCUCAGGGUUAGUCGGGACCUAAGCUGAGGCCGAUAGGCGUAGGCGAUGGACAACAGGUAGAGAUUCCUGUACCAGUGCUAAUUGUUUAACCGAUGGGGUGACACAGAAGGAUAGGGAAUCGCACGAAUGGAAAUGUGCGUCCAAGCAGGGAGUGUGAGACGUAGGCAAAUCCGCUUCUCGCGAAGCAUGAGCUGUGAUGGGGAAGGAAAUUAAGUACGGAAGUUCCUGAUUUCACGCUGUCAAGAAAAGCCUCUAGGAAGAGUAGUACUGCCCGUACCGCAAACCGACACAGGUAGAUGAGGAGAGAAUCCUAAGGUGAGCGAGAGAACUCUCGUUAAGGAACUCGGCAAAAUGACCCCGUAACUUCGGGAGAAGGGGUGCUCUAUUAGGGUGCAAGCCCGAGAGAGCCGCAGUGAAUAGGCCCAGGCGACUGUUUAGCAAAAACACAGGUCUCUGCAAAACCGUAAGGUGACGUAUAGGGG